UAUAGUGUAAACUGCACGUAGGCUUUUGAAUCCUAAAGAAGAUAACCUCUUAUUAUAA
rnacentral:tRNA from 1 species